rnacentral:rRNA from 1 species
AGAUUGAACGCUGGCGGCAGGCCUAACACAUGCAAGUCGAGCGGUAGAGAGGUGCUUGCAUCUCUUGAGAGCGGCGGACGGGUGAGUAAUGCCUAGGAAUCUGCCUAGUGGUGGGGGAUAACGUUCGGAAACGGACGCUAAUACCGCAUACGUCCUACGGGAGAAAGCGGGGGACCUUCGGGCCUCGCGCCAUUAGAUGAGCCUAGGUCGGAUUAGCUAGUUGGUGAGGUAAUGGCUCACCAAGGCGACGAUCCGUAACUGGUCUGAGAGGAUGAUCAGUCACACUGGAACUGAGACACGGUCCAGACUCCUACGGGAGGCAGCAGUGGGAAUAUUGGACAAUGGGCGAAAGCCUGAUCCAGCCAUGCCGCGUGUGUGAAGAAGGUCUUCGGAUUGUAAAGCACUUUUGGCUAGGAAGAAACGGCGUAGCCCUAAUACGGACGUCACUGACGGUACCUGCAGAAUAAGCACCGGACUAACUACGU